rnacentral:siRNA from 1 species
CCACUCAUCAUAUACCAACUUCCA